UGAGGAAAAGAAACUAACAAGGAUUCCCUUAGUAACGGCGAGUGAACCGGGAAGAGCUCAAAUUUGUAAUCUGGCUGUCUUCGAUAGUCCGAGUUGUAAUCUAUAGACGUGUUUUCCGUGCUGGACCGUAUCUAAGUCCCUUGGAACAGGGUAUCAAAGAGGGUGAUAAUCCCGUGCUUGAUACGACCACCAGUGCUCUGUGAUACACGCUCUACGAGUCGAGUUGUUUGGGAAUGCAGCUCAAAAUGGGUGGUAAAUUCCAUCUAAAGCUAAAUAUUGGCGAGAGACCGAUAGCGAACAAGUACCGUGAGGGAAAGAUGAAAAGCACUUUGGAAAGAGAGUUAAACAGUACGUGAAAUUGUUGAAAGGGAAACGAUUGAAGUCAGUCGUGUUCUUCAGAUUCAGCUGGUUCUUCCAGUCUACUUCUGUUGAACGGGUCAACAUCAGUUUUGUCCGGUGGAUAAAGGUAGUAGGAAUGUGACUCCUCCGGGAGUGUUAUAGCCUAUUAUUGCAUACACUGGGUGAGACUGAGGACUGCAGCUCGCCUUUUGGCCGGUCUUCGGACACGUUCGAGCUUAGGAUGUUGACAUAAUGGCUUUAAACGACCCG
rnacentral:rRNA from 1 species